CACGUAGGGUGCGAGCGUUGUCCGGAAUUAUUGGGCGUAAAGAGCUCGUAGGUGGCCUGUCGCGUCGGCUGUGAAAACUCGGGGCUCAACUCCGAGCUUGCAGUCGAUACGGGCAGGCUAGAGUUCGGCAGGGGAGACUGGAAUUCCUGGUGUAGCGGUGAAAUGCGCAGAUAUCAGGAGGAACACCGGUGGCGAAGGCGGGUCUCUGGGCCGAUACUGCACUGAGGAGCGAAAGCGUGGGGAGCGAACAGG
rnacentral:rRNA from 1 species